CCCUUCCUACGGGGGGCAGCAGUAAGGAAUAUUGGGCAAUGGGCGCGAGCCUGACCCAGCCAUGCCGCGUGCAGGAAGACGGCCCUAUGGGUUGUAAACUGCUUUUAUACGGGAAUAAUUGUGGGUAUGUAUAUCCACUUGCAAGUACUGUAUGAAUAAGCAUCGGCUAACUCCGUGCCAGCAGCCGCGGUAAUA
rnacentral:rRNA from 1 species